rnacentral:lncRNA from 10 species
UCAGCGAGACUCCGUGGGCGUGGGACCCUCCGAGCCAGAAGUGACUCUCCAGGGGAGCUAAAAUCCAUGUAUUUGGGCACACACUUGAACAAUAUUGCUAGAGAAAUUUAAGCAAGAGCACAAAGGCACUACGUUGUCUGGGAUGAUGGAAGGAGCUAAAGUCUUCAGUGAAUGAAGGAGCAGGACCAGGAGCUCAAAAUACUUCUUUGAAGACAAAGAAGAAAUGAUAUUACCAAAUGGUUGGCUCAAAAGAACAGGGAUUUUGCAACAGAGAGAGUAUGUCAUGGUCUUGAACAAGCAAUGAAAGAAUCAUCUGAAAGGAAUGUGGAGAUCAGAGAAAAAUGAUGGGAAAGUUACCACAGCCUGCAAAUGAGAAAUGAUGAGAGCCUGCCUGGGUUUUGCCAGGACGAUUAAAUAUCAUUGAUGCUUCUGGUCUACAAUUAGUCAGAGAAGAGAUUAAAAAAAUGAUGAGUAUUCAAGAAGGAAAGUGUUUGCUUUAACAUAUGAAGAAAAGGAGCUUCAGAGUGGUGAUUAACCCCAGAAUUGUGUGGAACGGAUAUGGAAACAAGACCACAGGAGCAUCGAGAACUGAGCAGAACUGAAGGUGACAUGAAAAUCAGCUGCAAGAUUCACCUCAGGGUGAUAAUGGGCUGCAGGUGGCUGCAGGAAUCCCGGGACAUUCUAGGCACUGCCAUAUUUUCUUAGGGGCCAGUAAGGAUGGCUAUCAUCAGAUGUACCUGAUGAUACAAACAUGGGCUGUCUUGCCUUCUAGUAUUCAUUCUUGAUGAUUGCAUCCAGAGCUCACUUUGGAGGUGCAGAUCAACUCUUCUUCAGGCUCAUCCAUGCGACUUGAGUGGGCUCUCAUCCCCAUUCCCAGGGGCUUAUGACAAUCAAGGUUUCCACUCCUCCAUGGUCUCAAUGGUUUUUCUCCCCAUGGGAAGCACAUAAUCCCAUUAGAGGCCACGGGAAGCUUUUUUGUUGGGCUUUGAGGGAAAAAAGGCUUUUGCAGCCAAUGAAUCGAUCAAUGUGUACUUCAACCUGGAUUGUAUGUAUGCAUCUCCUAGAUUGGGCGGAUGAUGAAGUGAGGCUGGAAGUGCUGAGCAUCUUCCUACCUGGGAUGACUGGGCUGAGCAGGAAGCCUACCCCGGGGUUCCAGCCAAGUUGGAGCCUGUGAGUGUGUGGUGUAGUUUAACGCCCUGAUUAAAUCACUAGGAAGCCAUUUCUCUCUCUCCUCCCAGACCAGAUCAGACAAUAUGUUCCCUUAUUUCUACUAAAGCCCCAAUUGGAUUUUGUGUCUUUUGAUACUGAAAGAAUCUUACCACAAAUAAAAUAAUUUGUCAUGUGGCUCCUACAUAUUUAUUCAGUUACAUAAACUAACUAAAUAAAUGAAUAAACUGUCAAUAAUGGUAGUUCCUCAUCUAUGAAUGACUCUUUACAAAGCCUAUCUCGCUUAAUAGUCAUAAUAAAUACUGAAGUAGAUACUAUUUAUACCUUUUUUUUAAAAGGAAUUAAAUAUUUUCAGGGUUAUACAAAGCAUGAGUAUUGUGGGUACAAAUUCAAGCUUUCUAACUCAAAUUUGAAGACUUAUCCCCAGGAUACUUUUACAUCUUUAGCUAGUACCAUGUAUACCUCAAAAGCUUACAUUAUUUUUCACAUGUGUUAGGUUUUGAGGGAUAAUCAAUAAGGAGGGCAUACUUUCAGGCUUCUUAUUUAUAACUGUGAAAUUUAGAAAUUGAUGGAGUAGCAGAUUUCUCGGUAGGAGACAGCUGUUUUAAAAUGCCCCAUGUUUUUAUUAAAGUAAAAAUCUCAAAAAUUGUCUUUUAAAAAGUGGCUCUGGCCAAUCUUAGAUAAAACAUCAUUUACUAGACUUAGGAAUUUCCUGUAGUAAAUUUCAGAUUUACUUUUCGGUCUCACAUCAUCAAAGAGAUCAUAACCCUUUGUGCAAUUAUGGUCUUGAACCAAGGCCUAUUCUCUAGGUCACUGCUGUCAGGACUUCAAGAUAAUUGUUUCCAUUGCAGGAUUUGAUUUUUAAUUCCCCGGAUGUUCUUGACGUGGUUCAGUUCUUCAGGAAAUCAUCACCCUCAUGAGCCCUCCCUGCCACUUGCAGAUAGGGCUUUCUCCCGGUAAGUUCUGGAGUCACGGCAGAGCUCAAUAAGUCUGAUUGGGACCUCCUAUGAUUAU